AACCUAAUCAAAUCGUGUUGGACUCGGAUGAUUACACGGGCAGUGCUAUUGCGACGCCUUUUGCGGGAAAUCAUUGGGGUGUGUUCAUGAAUACUAACAGUUGGCAUUCGCUUCGUAAGCCAUUUAUUAUUAGUUUUUUUUAAAGGCAUUUUAUGACCUGGUAACUAAUACCUUUAGGCCAAGUCUUAUUUUAAUUUUAAUGAAAACUUUUUUAUGUGAGAAACUUCGAUCAAUAAUACUACUAGAUUCGCGAUUAGCGCUUCAAAAACGGCCCGAAAAAUAAGACCACAAAUAAAUUUGUGGUCUUAUUUCAAAUUAGUAUGGUCCAAUCAUAGCCAACACUAAGACGUCAAAACGCUGCAAUGCGUGUUCAAAAACUGAGUAAAAAACCACCGUAACACCAAGGUUUUGGAAGGAAUAUCUUUUUUUGAUUUCCUAGUAGCCCCUUGUCGCUGUGCACAAUGGAUAUAUAUUGUCGCGAAAGAAAGAGAAGAAAUAUAGAACCCUUAUAAAAAUUCUAGAAUUGUUCAAUGGUGGUGGCAAAUCAAUGCAAAAAAGUAUUAAAAAAACUUUAUAUGUAUGUGUAAAUAUUUUAAGCGUAUAUGCUGAAAAGGAUUUGUUUUCUGGGGGAAACGAACACAGCCAUAAAAUAAGCCUAAAUUAAACUGAUUAUAAAAAAAUUCAUUGAUAUAAGAUUACAUUAUAUUUGUAAAAAAGAAACCGCUCAUAUAAAAAUGACUUCUAAAAGACAGCUUUAUAACAAACUGAAUCUGUUUAAAGGUAAUUAAACCUACAUUAUUGUUUUAAUUACUUCUGUAUAAAGAAUACGUGGAAAACAUGUUUCGUGUUUCCUUUCAUAUUUUUUUUACUUUAUUCAAUUUUAUUUUUUAUCACCUAUUUGUUGUAAUAGCGGCAAUGUAAAAUAUUAUCUACUACUUUUUUCAAUCGGUCAAAAAUAGUAGCGACCAUACAAAACAAACCUAAAACAAAUAUGUAUAUUCUGCAACUCUAUGUCUUUCAAUACUUACUGUGUUCUGAGCAUUGAAAUGUAAUACCAAGAACUACAUCUAGUUCCACAAUACAAUAAGCACGAAAUUUUAAACAAAUAUUUUUAACCUUAUAAAUUAGGCUUUAAGUAUCAUUUUAGAAUAAAUAUUUUUGUACUGAUGACUUUUUAUGUUCAAGUGACAUUUUAAAUUUAUUCCAUAAUAUUCUUUUUCUGACGAAAGGACCUAAAUACAUAUAUUUUGCAAUGGUAAUUAAACUUUAUGUUUAAGUAUUAAGGUUUAUAAUAAACUGAAGUCGUUAACAUUAUUAAA